AAUUUUGGACAAUGGGGUAAACGCUGAUCCAGCCAUGCCGUGUGUAUGAUGAAGGCAUUCGGGUUGAAAAGUACUUUUGGCAGAGAAGAAAAGGUAUCUCCUAAUCCGAGAUACUGCUGACGUUACCUGCAGAAUAAGCACCGGCUAACUACGCGCCAGAAGCCGAGGUAAUACGUAGGGUGCAAGCGUUAAUCGGAAUUACUGGGCGUAACGCGUGUGUAUGCGGUUCGGAAAGAAAGAUGUGAAAUCCAAGGGCUCAACCUUGGAACUGCAUUUUUAACUGCCGAGCUAGAGUAUGUCAGAGGGGGGUAGAAUUCCACGUGUAGCAGUGAAAUGCGUAGAUAUGUGGAGGAAUACCGAUGGCGAAGGCAGCCCCCUGGGAUAAUACUGACGCUCAGACACGAAAGCGUGGGGAGCAAACAG
rnacentral:rRNA from 1 species